rnacentral:rRNA from 1 species
CAAACUGAAGAUGGCGACCGGCGCACGGGUGAGUAACACGUAUCCAACCUGCCGAUAACUCCGGGAUAGCCUUUCGAAAGAAAGAUUAAUACCGGAUGGCAUACGAAUAUCGCAUGAUAUUUUUAUUAAAGAAUUUCGGUUAUCGAUGGGGAUGCGUUCCAUUAGUUUGUUGGCGGGGUAACGGCCCACCAAGACUACGAUGGAUAGGGGUUCUGAGAGGAAGGUCCCCCACAUUGGAACUGAGACACGGUCCAAACUCCUACGGGAGGCAGCAGUGAGGAAUAUUGGUCAAUGGGCGAGAGCCUGAACCAGCCAAGUAGCGUGAAGGAUGAAGGCUCUAUGGGUCGUAAACUUCUUUUAUAUGGGAAUAAAGUUUUCCACGUGUGGAAUUUUGUAUGUACCAUAUGAAUAAGGAUCGGCUAACUCCGUGCCAGCAGCCGCGGUAAUACGGAGGAUCCGAGCGUUAUCCGGAUUUAUUGGGUUUAAAGGGAGCGUAGGUGGAUUGUUAAGUCAGUUGUGAAAGUUUGCGGCUCAACCGUAAAAUUGCAGUUGAAACUGGCAGUCUUGAGUACAGUAGAGGUGGGCGGAAUUCGUGGUGUAGCGGUGAAAUGCUUAGAUAUCACGAAGAACUCCGAUUGCGAAGGCAGCUCACUAGACUGUUACUGACA